rnacentral:tRNA from 1 species
GGAGAGAUGUCCGAGCGGUUGAAGGAGCUUGUCUUGAAAACAAGUGUGCCGGCAACGGUACCGUGGGUUCGAAUCCCACUCUCUCCGCCA